AGAAAUAGAAUAGAUGUUAAUUUGGUAAAUGAGCGGGCGGCUCUGCAAGAUUUAGAUUUGUGAUGAAAUCAUUGUUAUCAAUGGUGUGGUAAUGUUUCAAACACUUCCCGUUUACUGUAAAUGGUUCGCUCGCUUUUUCCUUUAUCUCUAUCGCUCCAUUUGGAAAGAUGUUGGUAAUUUCGAAGGGACUAGACCACCUAGAACGAAGUUUUCCUGGAAAGAGUCUAAGGCGG
rnacentral:lncRNA from 1 species